ensembl:lncRNA PVT1 Pvt1 oncogene
GGUUGAAGUGAUAAUCUCAUCUGGACAUACUCAGAAAUGCUGUUUAACCAGCUCUCUGGAAAUCCUGUGGCCCAGUCAAGUUGACACACAAAAUUAACCAUCACACUGCAGAGACACAGUCUAUCCCAAUACCUGUAUUUACUGGGUAACGUGCAUCUCAGCUCACCAGGCUGGUUUGAUUGACUUGGCCCAAAGCUGCCCUUUGAGUGUUGAGCCCCAGCUGACCCCUUUGAUCCUUCACAGCCCCAUCAUUAAAACAAGGACCCUGAAUCAAGUGACUGCCAACAGAGAUUUUGAGAAACACAUUGAAGGAUCUGUUAACACUUGAUAUACCCAAUAAAAGCAGUGGUUGUGCCAGUGCUGAUCUGUCUUGAUGUGAAUGUGAACAAUGGGAACCUGAGCUGAGCAGUUAAUGCUAGGGUGACAGAAACUGGACCUCUCCCAAGACAUGUGACAGAGUAAUACAGCAGCCAACUUCUUCGCCAAAUUAAAGUUUUACAAGAUUUAACCUGUCAUCAAGACCUGGGAUUUUGGUGAGCCAGUCUUGGUGCUCUGUGUUCACCUGGUUCAUCUGAGGAGCUGCAUCUACCCUGCCCAUGCCAUAGAUCCUGCCCUGUUUGCUUCUCCUGUUGCUGCUAGUGGACAUGAGGUAACCACAGCCUAGUUCUGUGAUAAGCUCUUCACACCUGUACCCAUAUGGACUGUGGGAGAGUUUCUCUGAUAUGGACUGUGAUGCGGAAAACUGCCAAAUUGUCUUCCAAAGUGGCUAUAUCAUUUUGCAUUCCCACCAACAAUGAGAGUCCCUGUUGCUCCAAAUCCUCUACCAGAAUUUGGUAUUCAUGUUUUGGAUUUCAGCAUUCUAAUAGAAGGACAGAAUAACGGGCUCCCAGAUUCACAAGCCCCACCAAGAGGAUCACCCCAGGAACGCUUGGAGGCUGAGGAGUUCACUGAGGCUACUGCAUCUUGAGACUCAGGAUGAAGACCCAGCUUGGGGCUGUCAAAGGUUUUUUGCAUGUCUGACACCCAUGACUCCACCUGGACCUUAUGGCUCCACCCAGAAGCAAUUCAGCCCAACAGGAGGACAGCUUCAACCCAUUACGAUUUCAUCUCUGCCCCAACCACUCAGCAGCAAGCACCUGUUACCUGUCCACCCCCACCCCUUCCCCCAAACUGCCUUUGAAAAAUCCCUAACCUAUGAGCUUUGAAUAAGAUGAGUACGAACUUCAUCGCCCACGUGGCGUGGCCGGCCUCGUGUCUAUUAAAUUCUUUUUCUACUAC